GUACCAUGCAGCCACUGGCUCCAAAGGGACCUUCUACCAGGGAAUUUGAUUACUUGGAUAGAGCCCUUCUGUCGACCACUGACCUCAGGGCUAGCUCCCCAAAACGUCGCCUUCUCUACGCUCGUUUCUGCAAAGUAGCAACAGAACAACUUCCAGUAAAAGAAGGCACUGAGGUUUAAGUGCUACGUGGGAGCAGUUGCCGAUUUUUGCAAUGGGAGGCUGCAUAGAUUCAAGGACUUCCUUGAGUGCUCCAGGAGCUUGUCAUUCCAGAGACAGAGCAGCCCAGAAGUCCUGGGAUUUACACCUCUAGUAGAAACCCUCAACCAGAGAAGGAUGGAAGUCAAUGGGCAGAGUGCUCGGGAGACCUUUACCUGUUUUACCUGAUUACAUCCUCUGAGGUGGGUUGGGAAGCUCCAUUCUGUAUCACCCUCGCUCAAGGACCUGGACUGAAGGAUUUCUGCUUUCAAGAAGAAAAAAAAAAAUAGAAGACAUGUUUACUAAUACACUGGUAAUUAUUUCUAUUCAUAUUUUAUUGGCCAAAGCGAGUCAUAUGGGUAUACAACAUAAAAUGAGGUGCAGAAUUUCAAUCCUAUCAUUUGCUUGGAAGGUGGAGAGUCAUAUUUGGAGAACAUGAGUUCUAUAAUUGUUGGAUGUAACAGUCUAUACAUGUCCACUAAGUCAAGUUUGCUAAUCGUGUUUAAAUAAUCUAUAUCCUUACUCAUGUAUCUGUUCACUUCUUGCAGUUUUGUCAAUCUUAGUUUUAUAUUUUUGAAGCUAUAUUAUGUGUACAAGUUUUAUAAUCAUUGUACUUUCUCAUGAGUUAAACUUUUUAUCAUUAUGAUAAUGCUUUUUGCCUUAAAGUCUACUUUGUCUAAUAUUAAUAUAGAUAACAUUAAUUUUUGUUAAUAUUUAUAUUUUUCCACUUUUUAAUUUCAACAUUAUAAUACAAAUGUUUUAGGUAUGUUUCUUAUAAACAGUAUGCAGAUUGUUAUCCAAUUCAAUCUUUGAUUUUUAAUUGAACUAUUUAAUUUAUUUACAUUUAAUGUAAUUACUGAUAUAUUUGAAUUUAAAUAUACCGUCUUCUUAAGUGUUUUCAAUUGUCUCACAUGCUCUCUGUUCUCUUUAUCCUCACUUUUUGCCUGCUUUUGGAAAAUAUUGUUUUUGCCUCCAUUGUUUUGGAAGUUACAUAUCUUUUUAGUAGUCUUUUAGAGUUUAUCCUAUAGAUCACAGUAUGGGUCUCUGAGUUAGCAAAGGCUAAUAAUGUUAAUUGGCACUUUCAUUUUCUUCCAUAAUAGUACAAGGACCUUAGAACGUUUCAAUUCAUUUACUUCCUCUCCUGAUUUGUAUGCACUUUUAAUAUUUUUAAUUUUUUAAAUCUUCAGCACUGUGUUACAUUGUUUCAUACGGUAUAAUUCAUUUAGACUUCCUCAAAUGGACCUUCGUGCUGGACCUCAUUUCUUUCUGCAUCUAUAUAACCUAUCAUCCUUAAUCAUCUUCCUUCUGCUUAAAGAACAUCCUUUAGUAUUUGAUGCUGGUAAAGAAUCCUGAAAAUGUCUUAAUUUCACUUUUAUUAUUGAAGGCUAUUUUCACUGGACAUAGAAUUCUAAUGUUGACAGUUAUUUUAUUUCAGCACUUGAAAGACAUUUAAAUUCCACUAAUUUCUAGUUUCCAUUGUUUCUAUCAAGAGGUAAGCUAACAGUCUAUUACAUUUUUUCAAGUAAUGACAGCUGCUUGUAAUUUUUUUUUCCCUUUGUCUUUGGUUUUCAUCUGUCUUAUUGUGAUGUACCUAGGUGUGGCUUUUAAAAAUUUCUCCUGCUUGCAGCUCCCAGGGCUUCUGAGAUUUGUGGCUUGUUGUCUUUAAUCAAUUUUGGGAAUUUUUCAACUAUUUUCUCUUCAAAUAUUGAUGCUGCACCAUUCUCUUUCUCUUCUCCUUCUGAAAUUUUAAUUCUCAUUUUAUCUCCAUAUCUCUUACUCUCUGUAGCAUUGCUAUCCUUUUGUCUCUCCAUGUUUCGUCAUGAUGUUGUCUUCUAACCUACUUUCCAGUUCAUCAAUUUUCCCUACAGCUGUGUAUAAUUUUUUGUUAAACCAAGUAAAGAGUAUCCACUGAGCUCUUUGCUUUUGUUAGUAUAUAUUUUAAAUUCUAAAUUGUUCACUGGUUAUUUUUUACAACUUUUUCAUCCUUUUUUAAAGUUUUCAGUUCUCUGCCAAAUUUGUUGAUACUGUCUUUUAUCUCCGUAUGUGUAGUAAACAUAAUUAAUUUAAAGUCCGUAUCUGAUAAAUCCAUUAACUGGAGUUCUGUGGUAUUGUUUCUAUUGUAGUUGUUUCUACUGGAUCUCAUGUUUUCUUAUUUCUUUAUGGGCCUGGUUAUUCUCUUGUGUGCUAAAAUUGUAUAUGAAAAAUUGUUGGUUGAAGUAAAGUAAAACUUAUUGUGUUAUAUUCCUCCUGAGAGUACAGUCAUCCCUCAGUAUCCACAGCAGGAUUGGUUCCAGGACCUACUGCAGAUACCAAAAUCCAUGCAGAUUUCAUUUCCACAAUCAACCCUGUGGAAUCCAUGGAUAUAAAACGUCGACCCUCCAUAUAUAAGUGAGUUUGGCAUCCUGCAACUACUGUCUUUUAUAUUUAUGUUUGGUUGCAGAUGCAGAAUUCACCAAAGCCUAAUCCAGAGCAAGGCCCUAACUCUUCAAUUCUAUGAAGGCUAAGAGAGCUGAGGAAGCUGUAGAAGAAAAACUGCAAGCUAGCAGGGGUUGGUUUAUGAAGUUUAAGGAAAUAAACCAUUCCGUAACAUAAAAGUGUAAGAUAAAGCAGCAAGUGCUGAUGUAGAAGCUGCAGCAAAUUAUUCAGAAGAUCUAGCUGAGAUCAUGGAUGGCGGUGGUUACACUAAACAACAGAGUUCCAGGGUAGACAAACAGCCUUCUAUUGGAAUAAGAUGCCAUCUAGGACUUUCAUAGCUAGAGAAGAGUGGGCUGACUAUAUUUAUUUUAAAAAUCCAUGUAUAGGCUGGGCGCAGUGGCUCACGCCUGUAAUCCCAGCAGCACUUUAGGAGGCUGAGGCAGGUGGGUCACCUGAGGUCAGGAGUUUGAGACCAGCCUGGCCAACAUGGUGAAACCCUGUCUCUACUAAAACUAAAAAAAUUAGCUGGCAUGGUGGCAGGCACCUGUAAUCCCAGCUACUCAGGAGGCUGAGGCAGGAGAAUUGCUUGAACCUGGGAGGCGGAGGUUGUAGUAAGCCGAGAUCGCGCCAUUGCACUCCAGCCUGGAUGACAAGAGCGAAAUUCUGUCCAAAAAAAAAAAAAAAAUCCAUGUAUAAAUGAGCCAUACAGUUCAAACCCAUGUUGUUCAAGGGUCAACUGUAUUUAUAUUUGCUUUUGCAAGAUACCUGGGGAUGUGAGGACCUGGGAUCACCUUUAUCCAAUUUGAAGAAUUAAGCUAAUUGGAUCUCAGCUGAGGCCCCACAAAAUCUCAUCUACUUCCAUCCAAGUCAUCCUGUCUUUUCUCUUUUUUAAAUUUUUUUGGAGGUGGGGUCUCACUGUGCUGCCCAGGCUGGACAACAUAGGUCCAGUGGCACAAACAUAGGUCACUGCAGCCUUGCACUCUUGGGCUGAAGGGAUCUUCCCAAGUAGCUGGGGCUACAAGCACAUGCCACCAUGCUACCAUGCUGCGCUAAUUUUUUCAUUCAGUCUUAAGAUGAAGACUUUCAGGGUCCUAGCCUGCUAUGGGGAGUUAUAUGUCUACCCUCUCCUUUGGUGAGCACCGGAUUCCAACUUGUGUUUAUGUGGCCACACAAAGCUGCCCAGGUGCUGCUUAGUCUCUUCAGUUCUUUUUUUUUUUUUGAGAGGGAGUCUCACUCUGCACUGUGUCGCCCGUGCUGGAGUGCAGUGGCAUGAUCUCGGCUCACUGCAACGUCUGCCUCAUAGGUUCAAGCUCCUCCGCCUCCUGGGAGCCUGGGUGAUUCUCCUGCCUCAGCCUCCCGAGUAGCUGAGAUUAUAGGCACCCGCCACCACACCCAGCUAAUUUUUCUUUUGUAUUUUAAUAGAGAUGGGGUUUCACCAUGUUGGUCAGGCUGGUCUCAAACCCUAACCUCAAAUGAUCCACCUGCCUUGGCCUCCCAAUGUGCUGGGAUUACAGGUGUGAGCCACCACACCCGGCCAUCUCUCCAGUUCUUUGUUGUCGUUUCCAGAAGCAGCAAAUGUCCCAAGGGGAAAAGAGGCCCAGUUAUUGGGCUUGCCUCCUUGAAUACCCAUCUUUCUCCAGCUCUUCAUUGGUGAUUCUUCAUUAUCUUUUUAAGUCUGAUGUUUUCAAGCACAUUUUAUUUUAAUUUUUUCCCACUUUUCUAAUUGUUCUCAGCAGGACAGUAGGUCUGAAUUUAGUCUGCUAUUACCAGAUGGUAGGAAAUAGACAGGUAUGCUUCAUUUUGUCAUAGUUUGCUUUACUACACUGCAGAUAUUAUAUUUUUUACAAAUUGGAGGUUCGUGGUAACCCUGCAUUGAAGAAGCCUUUAGGUGCCAUUUUUCCAACAGCAUGUGCUCACUUUUUGUUUCUGGGUCAUAUUUUGAUAAUUCUCAUAAUAUCUCAGACUUUUUCAUUAUUAUUAUAUUUGUUAUGGUAAUCUAUGAUCAGUGAUCUUUGAGAUUACUCUUGUAAUCAUUUUGGGGUGCCAUAAACUGUGCUCAUAUAAGAUGGUGAAGUUCAUUGAUAAAUGUUGUGUGUUCUGACUUCUCCACCAAUCAGCCAUUUCCCAUCUUUUACAUUCUUUUCAGUCCUCCUUAUUCCCUGAGACACAACAAUAUUGAAAUUAGACUAAUCAAUAACCCUACAAUGUCCUCUAAGUGUUCAAGUGAAAGCAAGGGUGGCACAUCCCACACUUUAAAUCGAAAGCUAAAAAUGAUUAAGCUCAGUGAGGAAUGCAUGAGGAAAAGCCAAGAGAGGCCAAAAUAGAGGGCUUUUGUGCCAAACAGGUAGCCAAGUUGUGAAUGGAAAGGAAAAGUUCUUGAAGGAAAUUAAAAGCACUACUCCAGUGAACACACAAAUGAUAAGAGAGUAAAACAGCCUUAUUGCUGAUAUGGAGAAAGUUUGAGUGGUCUGGAUAGAAGAUCAAACCAGCAACAACAUUCCUUUAAGUUAAAGCCUAAUCCAGAGCAAGGCCCUAACUCGCUUCAAUUCAAUGAAGGCUGAGAGAGGUAAGGAAGCUACAGAAGAAAAAUUAGAAGCUAGCAGAGGUUGGUUCAUGAAAUUUAAGGACAUAAACCAUUUCCACAACAUAAAGUGCAAGGUGAAGCAGCAAGCGCUCAUGUAGAAGCUGCAGCAAGUUAUCCAGAAAAUCUAGCUAAGAUUAUGGAUGGUGGUGGCUACACUAAACAAUAGAAUUUCAAUGUAGACAAAACAUCUAUCAGAAUAAGAUGCCAUCUAAGACUUUCAUAGCUAAAGAGGAGAAAGCAAUGCCUGGCUUCAACGCUUCAAGGGACAGGCUGACUGUCUUAUUAGGGGCUAAUGCAACUGGUGGCUUUAAGCUGAAGCCAAUUGCUCAUUUUCCAUACAGAAAAUCUUUGGACCCUUACAAAUUAUGCUAAACCCAGGCCAGACACAGUGGCUCAUGCCUGUAAUUCUAGCACUUUGGGAGGUCGAGGCAGGCAGAUCACUUGAGCUCAGGAGUUCGAGACUGGCCUGGGCAACAGGGUGAAACCCCAUCUCUACAAAAAAAUACAAAAACUAGCCAGGUGUGGUGAAGUGUGCCUGCAGUCCCAGCUACUCAGGAGGGUGAGGCAGGAGAAUUUCUUGAGCCUGGAGGCUGAGGUUGCCGUGAGUCAAGAUCACGCCAUUGCACUCCAGCCUGGGUGACAGGAGUGAAACCCUGUCUCAAAACAAAGAAUUGUGCUAAAUCUAUUCUGCCUGUGCUCUAUAAAUGAAAUAACAAAGCCUGAAUGACAGCACAUCUGUUUAUGGCAUGUUUACUGAAUAUUUUAAGCCUACCGUUGAGACUUACUCCUCCAGGGAAAAAAAGGGAUUCCUUUCAAAAUAUUACUUCUUGUUGGCAAAUGCAUCUAGUAACUCAAAAGCUCUGACAGAGAUGUACAAGGAGAGUAAUAUUUUCAUGCUUUUAACACAACAUCCAUUCUGCAGUCCAUGGAUCAAGAAGUCAUUUCAACUUUCAAGUCCUAUUACUUAAGAAAUGCAUUUUUUAAGGCUAUAGUUGUCAUAGAUAGUGAUUUCUCUGAUGGAUCUGGGCAAAAUCAAUUGAAAACCCUCUGCAAAGAAUUUACCAUUUUAGAUGCCCUUAAGUACAUUCACGAUUCAUGGGAGGAGGUCAGAAUAUCAACAUUAGCAGGAGUUUGGAAGAAGUUGAUUCUAACCCUCACGGAUGACUUAGAGGAGUUCAAGACUUCACUAGAGGAAGUCACUGCGGAGGUGCUGGAAACAGAAAACUAGAAUUAGAAGUGGAGCCUGAAAAUGUGCCUGAAUUGCUUCAAUCUUGUAACGGUUAAUACUGAGUGUUCACUUGAUUGGAUUGAAGGAUGCAAAGUAUUGUUCCUGGGUGUGUCUGUGUGAGCUUCCCUAGUUUUGAGGUUUUGGGACUUGGACUGGUUUCCUUGCUCCUCAGGUUGCAGAUGGCCUAUUGUGGCACUUCGCCUUGUGAUCAUGUGAGUCAGUACUCCUUAAUAAACUCCCGUUCAUUUAUACAUCUAUCCUAUAAGUUCUGCCUCUCUAGAGAACCCUAAUACAAAUUUCAUGAUAAAACUUGAACGAAAGAGGAGCUGCUUCUUAUGGAUGAGCAAAGAAAGUGAUUUCUUGAGAUGGACUCUACUCCUAGUAGAGAUGCUGUGAACAUUGUUGAAAUGACAAUAAAGGAUUUAGAAUAUUCCGUAAACUUAGUUAAUACAGAAGCAGCAGCAUUUGAGAGGACUGACUCCACUUUUGAAAGAAGUUCUACUGUUAUUAAAUGCUACCAAAUAUGGUACAGAGAAAUAUUUUGUGAAAGGAAGAGUCCAUUGACAUGGCAAGCUUCAUUACUGUCAUAUUUUAAUAACUUGCCACAGCUACCUCAAACUUCAGCAACCACCAGUCUGAUCAGUCAGUAACCAUCAAUAUCGAGGCAAGACCUUCCACCAGGAAAAAGAUUAUAACUCACUGAAGGCUCAGACGAUCAUUACUAUUUUUUUAGCAGCAAAGUAUUUUUAAUUGAGGUAUGUACAUUUUUAGACAUAAUGCUCUUGCACACUUACUAGACUACAGCAUACUGUCAACAUAACUUUUAUAGGCACUGGGAACCAAAAAUUUGUAUGAUUCACUUUGUUGCAAUACUUGCCUUACUGCGGCAGUCUGGAACCAAACCCACAAUAUCUCCAAGGUCCACCUGCAAAUGCAGGCAGUGGGCCAGGUAUACAUGCAUACAUAUGCCUUAUGUGAGGGGUGGGCACUGAGGUUAACUAGAAAGCAUGAGCCUAUUUUUGCCUUGUGGUAAUAAGGGCCUCAUAUUGCCAAAUUUUUCCAUUUUUUUCAAAAGAAGUAGGAAAGGAAAUGCAGGCUUUUAAAAUGUGAAAUCCCAAUUUUCAAUUGUUGGUUCAAAAAAAACUUAAAUCUCAACUAGCCAAAUAAAAUGCAUCUGGGGUCCACACCCAGCUACCCUAUAGGAUACUAAUUUAAAAUAUCUGGACUAUAGUCUAUAUUGAUGAGAGAAGUGGGGUGAAACUUGGCAUUCCCUUGCCAUUAACUUCUAGCCUCCCAGUAGUCCAGGCUGCCUUGAAUAAACACCAGACCAUCAUACAAAACAGAGUUUUUAUCUUAUUUAUUUAUUUAUGAGUUGGGUGUCUUGCUGCAUUACUCAGGAUGGAGUGCAGUGGCACAAUCAUAGUUCACUGAGGCCACGAACUGCUGUGCUCAAGUGAUCCUCUCACCUCAGCCUCCUGAGUAGCUGGGACUACAGGUGUAUGCCACCACAUAAGGCUAAUUUUAAUUUGUUUUUGAGAGACAGAGUCUUGCUAUGUUGCCCAGGCUGGUCUUAAACUCCUGGCCUCAAGCAAUCUUUCCACCUUGGCCUCUGAAAGUACUAGGAUUAUAGAAGUGAGCCGCUAUGCUUGACCAAAACACAGUUUUUAAAUCAAUUUAUGUCUUUACUGAAAUCUCUUAAAGAUGCCAAAGGGUGGGGUUUGGGUUCCAUUCAUAACACCAACAUUUCUGAAGAAUCCUCUUCUCUUGUCUCUUUCUCAAGUCCUCCUCAUGACAUCUGUGUUAGUCCGUUCUCACACUGCUAUGAAGGACUGCCUGAGACUGGGUAAUUUAUAAAAGAAAGAGGUUUUAAUUGACUCACAGUUCCACAGGGGUGGGAAGGCCUCAGGCGGAAGGGGAAGCAACCACAUCCUUCUUCACAUAGCGGCAGGAAGGAGAAGUGCCAAGCAAAGGGGAAAAGCCUUUCAUAAACCCAUCAGGUCUCAUGAGAACUCAAGAAGAGCAUGGGGAUAUGUGGAGGAAAAGUUAAAUCUUAAAUUUGAACUCAAUUGAAUGUGGACACAAACAAUGGUCACCAAGUCCCAGAACAGGUUGCAUGAGCCCCUUGAGGCGUUCAUCCAGACGGUUUUGGAGAAAUCUGUUCCUGUAUGUUAGUUAUUGAAAAACAACAAACAAUCAUAAAAACAAGUUGACCUUUUUGUGUUCCUUGAGUCCAGUCAUGAAGGGCCCUCGUGACUGGGCCUCAUGCCAAAUAAGUCGUUACAAAAAGAACUAGGGUCCCAUACCACGCCAAAGCUUCAUGAGACCUCUCCUCAUCUGUGCAUGGAUGAGCGGUCAACUCUGGAGCCCAGGCUGUUGCUUCCCUGUCUGGUGAUGAAUCCUCUAUAGUCUGGUAAGUGUAGUGGCCGACUCUGGAGCCCAGGCUGUUGCUUCUGGUCUGGUGAUGAAUCCUCCAUCGUCUGGUGAGUGUGUGUGUAUAUAUAUAUAGUCUAUAUUGAUGGGAGAAGUGGGGUGAAAGUUGGCAUGCCCUUGCCAUUAACUUCUAGCCUCCCAGUAGUCCAGGCUAUAUAUAUAUAUCUUCUCCCUUUUCCCCUUCCCAUUGCAAUUUGCUUGUAUCAUUUGCUUAUUAUAUCUGCAUUGCCAUUUACAUGGGAUAAAGGUUGUUUACCCUUGAAGGUAUUGCAUGUGUGUCUUUUCUUUUCCCUUUGUGCAUCUCCCUCAUAGAAAAGAGUAACCGCCCCCAUGAUUCAAUUGCCUACCACUGGGUCCCUCCCACAACACGUGGGGAUUAUAGGAACUACAAUUCAAGAUGAGAUUUGGGUGGGGACACAGCCAAACCAUAUCAACAGCCCAGCAGCUACUUCAGUCCUCCUUAAUUUAUCUCUUGAAUUCUCCCAAACCCAGCUCAUCCCUGGCUUGUUUCUCUUAUUCUUUCUCUCGCCUUCUGAUCCAUUCUGCUUUCGUUAGUAUGUAACUCCCUGCCUUCUCUUAGGUAGACCCAUCAACCCAUCCUACCCAUGGUACUGCACAAUUCAGAAUCCUUUCCCAAAUUUUCCCUUAUUAUGCACAAGAAAUACUCCAGGGCCAGGUGCAAUGGCUCACGCCUGUAAUCCCAGAACUUUGGAAGGCUGAGGCAGGAGGAUCGCUUGAGCCCAAGAGUUCAAGGCUGUAGUUAGUGAUGUUGGUGCCACUGCACUCCAGCCUAGGCAACACAACAAGACACUAUCUCAAUUAAAAGAAAAAAAAAGAAAAAAGAAAAAGAAAUACUCCAGAACUUGGCUAGUGAAGACUAAUUCCUCCUUCACAGGAAGGAAGUGGGGGCAGGGGAAAAUGAUGCUGUAAAUACUCUAAAAUAUGUAUUUUUUCCUGUCCCAUCAGCUAUGCCAUCUGGGAUGGGGUGACGCCUGGAUGAGAUGUCAUUUUAAAGGACAUUUCUGGGACAUGCUGGCAUCAAGGCAAGUUUUCAGGCUGGAAGCCAUUUGGGCAGAGGCAGAAUCUGGGCUCAGAGUCUAGCCCUGCAGGACCCAGUGUGGCAGCUGCGUGUCUCUGGAGCACUGGAGAGGGGGCUACUGCAAAUUAAGAUCUGCUGUAAAGAGCAUCUUCCUGGUUAUUCUCUGGGACGCAAAACCAUGGUGGUAUCUGAUCUCAUCACACUUCUGCCAGGAGGUGAAAUCGAAGAGGCUACAUUCUUGAUGCUCAGUGUCUUCUUCAGGUCAUUUGCCUGAGGACACCUGGGGAUACUGAGCUAUGAAAAGAAAACAUUUGGAAGAUCACUGAUUCCUUCAUGGAGAGGCUGGCUUGGGAAUAGAUGACGUGUCAAAGAUUGACAUCAACCUUGAGUGCUUAUUUGUGGACUUGAGAUACAGAUAAAAAAAAAAAAAAAAAAACCUCCCUAGAGUGAGGGCUACUUGGGAUACAUGCUAUAUCCCAAGGAGUUCUCAGUUUGAGGUCAGCCCCAGCUCUACAACUCACCAGGAGAGUGCGCGAGGAUGAGGGAGAGACAGCCUGCUCUGGUUCUCUUCAAGGUGACAAUGACACCUGUUGACAGAUGAGAAUUCCAGCCAGGAAUACAGAUUUAGGAAUCAUGUUUCUCACUCUCAUGAUGACAUAGAAGAGAUGCGUCUGAAUCUUUCUGCCAGUGUGUUAAAGUUAUUCUGAUAUUGACUGUAGUUCUGAGCUUUGUCUCUAUCCCACCAAACCACUAACUUCUGGAAAUUACUUGUAGACCAAGAUGGGAGGACUCCGUGUGUGGCUCCAUAUGAAUGACUUAUCGUGCCUGUCCAGAGUCAGGGAAAGGAGAAACAAUCUUAUUUGAGAAGGGAGGAUAUCACUGCAGUGGUUGUGAAAUCGUGUUUGGAAGCUAGAUUGCUCUAGACCACUAAGCUCUCUUCAUGUGACAAAGAAACUUCCUAAAAUACUAAAAGCUAAAGGAGAUUGUUAUCUAAGCUUGAGAUGGAAGGUUGCCAGCGGAAACUUGGAGGAUCACAGCCAGUCGCCUGGGAUUGACCACAGGGAGUGGCAGAGGCAGAAAGCAAAAGACCAGUUGCAAUUAUCCAGAAUCCUGAAUUGAGCCUGUGUUCCCAGUUCCUAGAAACCCUCAAGGUUAUUGGUUUCCUCCUCGCUUAAUAGACCAGUGGAAGAAAUCUACCUCCAGUUCUAUCUUCACAUGAGCAACUGUUUACAGUUUACAAUAUUACUCUGAAAAUCAGUUCUUUUCAAGUUUUAUCUAACACCCACCAGAAGAAACAGAAGAUUAUGAAAAUGGAAUUUGUCAAAGUUCCUCUCCCAACAAUAUGAUAUUUAAUUUUGCUAACAUUUUUUUUUGAACACUUACUAUAUUGCAGACAAUGGUCUAAGUAAAGCAUUUUAUGUGCAUCCUAUCAUGUCAUCAUCACACAGCCCUGUGAGGUAGAUACUAUUAUUAUUAACCACAUUUCACAUUCAAAAAAACUGAGGCUUAGAGAGACUAAGUAAAUUGUCCAAGGUCACACAGCCAUGAAGUGGCAGAGCUGUGGUUAAAACCUAUGUCUGUCUGAUGUUUAAGAUUUUGCUGUUAGCAUUACUUUGAAAUGACAAUAUGAGGGCAUUUUAUGUAUUUUUUUUGCCCCAAUAUGAUCUGCAGAAACUAUGUAUUUUAAGUACUACAUUUCUUUUAUUUACCAAAUUAUUGUCAGAUAAGAAACCGAAAUAAAAGUUUACAGGGUCUAGGAUUCCUCCAUAAUGAAUGAACUUUGGGGUAUUUCAGUGACAAAUUGGCUUUAACGCGAUCAAAUUCCAUCCUACAAUGAAAGUGUGUUAGUUUGUGGUUUCAAGUUUAAAAACAGCACUGUAUUGUCUUCCAGAAAUAUAUAAAUAGAAAUUCAAGAAGUAUUUCAAUGAAUACAGAUAAAAUUAGUUUUGUUAGAACAUCAAAUAUGUGGGUUUCAUUUCUUAGCUCAGUUUAGAAACUGUAAUUUCAAUUUUUUUUAGCAGCUGUGGUAAAUUUUGAGAUUUGAAAUUUCAUAUAAUAUAAAUCCUCAUUUAUUGAGCAUUUAAAUUAUAUGCCCAACAAUUUACUGUGUACAUUACUUCACUUGUUCUUAACUAUAACUCUACAAAAUAUUAUUGUCCUUGAUUUAUAGAUGAAGAUAUUGAGACUCAGUUAAGUAACUUGCUUGAAAUUCAAAAACGUUAACUGUGGAAGGCAGUAUUUGAACCCAGUGUUCAAAACCCCAUGCUCUUUUUAUUAUAUGACCUUAUUUCCUAUUCAGUCUUCAGAAGAUAUAUUGUCUUAUUAGAUUAUUCUCGUUCUCUAAAUAAGUGACCUUGGGCAACUAUCUUUUUCCCUGGUAUUUUCCCCUGCCUUUAAAACAAUGUGAUCAAACUGGAAGUUUUUCACGAUCUCUCUUAGCCCUAAAGCUCCUUGGUUCUGUAAUUCCACCAAUAGCCCAUUUCAAAAAUAAUUCUACAGUAAUCAGUGGGACUCCUGUUUUUCCCAUCUUUUUUUUUUUUGAAACAGAAAAUUGAAACUUUUAAAUUAGUUUAGUAAAUACAUCUACUAGUUUUUUUCUUUUAUAGUCAUGGUUAUAUUAUUUGGUCCUUCUUAGUUGCAACAUGUUUCCUUGCUGUCAAUUUAUAAUACCUCUCAUCAACAAUAGCCUGAAGAAAUAGAUUUGAAUUGCUUUCCCUAAUUUAUAGCUGGAAAACUAGGCUACGCUGGUAUCUUAAAUUGACUUUCCUGAGGUCACGGGCACUCAGUGCCAAGAGGAGUUGGUACCUACGCAUUUGAAAUUUCUGGAUUUCUGGUCUUACUCUGUACUUAGUCACUCUUUUCUUUCAUUUGGCCCUAUGGUGGGCAAACUACAGCCUACAGGCCAAUUCCAGCCUACCAUCUGUUUUUGUAUGGUCCAUGAACUAAGAAUGGUUAUCACAUUUUAAAAUGGUGGGAAAAAAAGACUAUUUUGUGACAUAAAAAUUAUAUGAAAUCCAAAUUUCAGUGUCUAUAAAUUUUGUUGGAAUAUAGUUACCACACUCAUUCUUUUAUGCACUGUUUUUGGCUGGUUUUCUGCCUCAACAGCAGAGUUGAGUAGGUGCAACCAAGACUGUAUGGCCUACAAAGCCUAAAAGUUUGUUAUAGAAAAGUUUGCUGACCAACUCUAUUGGUUGCUUAGUAUUGCUAGGCACUCUGCAAGUCACAGGGAACACAGCAAACUAGACACAUGACUGCCUUGGGCUUAAGAAGAGGUUUCUAAACUUUUGAAUAAAAAACAAAACAAACAACAAACAAAGUUGGAGGGACAUAAAACUUCCAAAUAUUAAUUUUGCCAGUGGGGUUUGUUUGUUUUUUUGUUUGAGAUGGAGUCUUGCUCUGUCACCCAGGCUGGAGUGCAAUGGCGCGAUCUCGGCUCACUGCAACCUCUGCUUCCUGGGUUCGAGCAAUUUUCUUGUCUCAGCUUCCAGAGUAGCUGGGAUUACAGGCACCCGCCACCACGCUUGGCUAAUUUUUUUGUAUUUUUAGCAGAGACGGGUCUGGUCUCGAACUCCCGACCUCAGGUGAUUCGCCCAGCUCCUGGGCGUGAGCCCCAGUGGGUAUUUCUUAAAAACACAGCUACUAUUUUCACUCAUCAUUUUAUUUAAAAAAGGAGUAUGUUAAUACAAAAAAGUAUAUUAAUGCCAAAUUUGUAGGAAGAACAUAAUCUCAAAAAGCA
rnacentral:lncRNA from 1 species